CAACCUGCCCACCACUUGGGGAUAACCUUGCGAAAGUAAGACUAAUACCCAAUGACGUCUCUAGAAGACAUCUGAAGGAGAUUAAAGAUUUAUCGGUGAUGGAUGGGGAUGCGUCUGAUUAGCUUGUUGGCGGGGUAACGGCCCACCAAGGCGACGAUCAGUAGGGGUUCUGAGAGGAAGGUCCCCCACAUUGGAACUGAGACACGGUCCAAACUCCUACGGGAGGCAGCAGUGAGGAAUAUUGGUCAAUGGACGAGAGUCUGAACCAGCCAAGUAGCGUGCAGGAUGACGGCCCUAUGGGUUGUAAACUGCUUUUAUAAGGGAAUAAAGUGAGUCUCGUGAGACUUUUUGCAUGUACCUUAUGAAUAAGGACCGGCUAAUUCCGUGCCAGCAGCCGCGGUAAUACGGAAGGUCCGGGCGUUAUCCGGAUUUAUUGGGUUUAAAGGGAGUGUAGGCCGGAGAUUAAGCGUGUUGUGAAAUGUAGACGCUCAACGUCUGCACUGCAGCGCGAACUGGUUUCCUUGAGUACGCACAAAGUGGGCGGAAUUCGUGGUGUAGCGGUGAAAUGCUUAGAUAUCACGAAGAACUCCGAUUG
rnacentral:rRNA from 1 species